rnacentral:rRNA from 1 species
UGGGGAAUAUUGCACAAUGGGCGCAAGCCUGAUGCAGCCAUGCCGCGUGUAUGAAGAAGGCCUUCGGGUUGUAAAGUACUUUCAGCGGGGAGGAAGGGAGUAAAGUUAAUACCUUUGCUCAUUGACGUUACCCGCAGAAGAAGCACCGGCUAACUCCGUGCCAGCAGCCGCGGUAAUACGGAGGGUGCAAGCGUUAAUCGGAAUUACUGGGCGUAAAGCGCACGCAGGCGGUUUGUUAAGUCAGAUGUGAAAUCCCCGGGCUCAACCUGGGAACUGCAUCUGAUACUGGAAAGCUUGAGUCUCGUAGAGGGGGGUAGAAUUCCAUGUGUAGCGGUGAAAUGCGUAGAGAUGUGGAGGAAUACCGGUGGCGAAGGCGACCCCCUGGACAAAGACUGACGCUCAGGUGCGAAAGCGUGGGGAGCAAACAGG